GACGGCUCAGUAACACGUAGUCAAUCUACCUUAUGGACGGGGAUAACCUCGGGAAACUGAGAAUAAUACCCGAUAGAUCAUAAUUCCUGGAAUGGUUUAUGGUCCAAAUGAUUUAUCGCCAUAGGAUGGGACUGCGGCCUAUCAGCUUGUUGGUGGGGUAAUGGCCCACCAAGGCUAUAACAGGUACGGGCUCUGAGAGGAGAAGCCCGGAGAUGGGUACUGAGACACGGACCCAGGCCCUAUGGGGCGCAGCAGGCGAGAAACCUUAGCAAUGUGCGAAAGCACGACUAGGUUAAUCCGAGUGAUUUCUGCUGAAGAAAUCUUUUGUCAGUUCUAAAUCUACUGGUGAAUAAGGGGUGGGCAAGUCUGGUGUCAGCCGCCGCGGUAAUACCAGCACCUCGAGUGGUUAGGAGGUUUAUUGGGCCUAAAGCAUCCGUAGCCGGCUUUGCAAGUCUCCGGUUAAAUCCAUCUGCUUAACAGAUGGGCUGCCGGAGAUACUACAUAGCUAGGGAGCGGGAGAGGUAGACGGUAUUCGGUGGGUAGGGGUAAAAUCCUCUGAUCCAUUGAGGACCACCAGUGGCGAAGGCGGUCUACCAGAACGCGUUCGACGGUGAGGGAUGAAAGCUGGGGGAGCAAACCGGAUUAGAUACCCGGGUAGUCCCAGCUGUAAACGAUGCAAACUCGGUGAUGCAUUGGCUUAUGGCCAGUGCAGUGCCGCAGG
rnacentral:rRNA from 1 species